rnacentral:misc_RNA from 1 species
AACGCACAUUGCGCCCUCUGGUAUUCCGGGGGGCAUGCCUGUUCGAGCGUCAUUACAACCCUCAAGCCCUGCUUGGUGUUGGGCAGCACUGGACCCGGUGCGCCCUAAAAUCAGUGGCGGUGCCAUCUGGCUUCCAAGCGUAGUAACACUUCUCGCUUCUGGAGGCCCGGGUGUGCACCCGCCAGGAAAUCACUGCCCACUCAAGGUUGACCUCGGAUCAGGUAGGGAUACCCGCUGAACUUAA